GGAUGUUAAAAAGACAUUCUUGAUGUCCGGUGGUGGAGCUAAUGGAUUUUCUGCGAACCUGGAAAGAUGGUUGUUGUGUUAGCCUUUGGGCCUGACUGGGUUUGGCCUGCUCUUCUCUCUGUAGUUUUGGAAACCCUGUCUGUGUGGAUACACAUCCCAGGAAGCAGAGACCACUGGGUGAAACGAGGAUGUAUAUUAGAGCAAGAAGCAUCAAAGAAUGCAUAUCUCCAGAAUUGUGUGGGUUUCUUUUUAACUGGAAUUUAUAAUUGCCCCUAAUUAUAGGACAUAUUUUACAUGUUCCCUUUGAGAGGCUGAGAAGGGGUGGAGUCCUGUCCACUCCAGUCACAAGAGCUAUAACCUUGACAUUUUAAUUAGAUGUUAUUUUGAAAUAUGUAAAAGUGAUUUAAUGCUCACCAAAACAUAUCAUUGAUUGUGCAGUUUGCCCAAGAAAAUAAAAUGAUACACAAUUUGAAAAAUAA